UACAGAGGUCUCAAGCGUUGUUCGGAUUCAUUGGGCGUAAAGGGUGCGUAGGUGGCGCUGUAAGUCGGGUGUGAAAUUUCGGAGCUUAACUCCGAAACUGCAUUCGAUACUGCGGUGCUUGAGGACUGGAGAGGAGACUGGAAUUCAUGGUGUAGCAGUGAAAUGCGUAGAGAUCAUGAGGAAGACCAGUGGCGAAGGCCGGGUCUCUGGGCCGAUACUGACGCUGAGGGAGCGAAAGCGUGGGAGCGAACAGG
rnacentral:rRNA from 1 species